UGGCGUGAUUAGACCAAUGGCUGUGAAUGGGUUGAUACCUAUGUUAAGGUGGUAUAGGGCGUGCUGCACUAUUUAAACUGCUUGGCUCAGGCGGAUGUCACAGAAGUACCACUAAGAAGACGUUUACGGUCAAUUCGCUCAUUCGUAGGCUAAUCCCAGAGACCUUGGAAUGGAAACUGAAACUGAAAACCCUAUCAGCGGAGAAGUGAAAGGGUUUAAGAGGGAAAGCCUGAAACGUGUUGAAAUGAAUGUGAAGAACAUACUUCCCUCAGAUGACGACAUUAAGAAGGAGAAGCAGGAGGAGAAACAAACCCCAGCUGCCAAAGGAUGCAAAUGACAAGCGCUCCAAACCCAAAAUGAUGAGUUCUACAUCCCCCCCCCCUCUUAUCCCUUGACAAGAGCACUGCACAAUUCCCUCUCCUCCAUUUAUUAAUUCCUCCCUGUAUAAAUUGAUUAUUAUUCAACACAGUUUUAGUGGGAAGGUAGAGCCAAAUUAAAAUUAGGGGAAGGAAUCCAAUUUUCAAGCCAUUUUGCGAUCACACCCAUCACAGAUUCAUAUUCAGAUGUAUUCUGUAAAGAGGAAGAAGGAAUUGAAAGGGGGAGAGGCCAGGUGGAUGACAUGUUGAGUGCAAGGCACUUUCUCCAAUAAAAUGUCAACAACUGCCCACUGUAAUGCCCCACAUGUAUUUGGUGCCAUUCUGGAUUUGUCAUUCAUAAAGUAAUGUUGUAAAGUAAAGUAAAGAUUUUUGUAAAAAAAUACAAAUAAACAAAAUGUUUUAAAAUAAAAUCAUUGUAGCCGAUACUUUAUUCUCUCUACAGUAGCCAUGCUUGUCAAAAAUGUUUUGCUUAAGAAAUAAUCAUGUGUUUCAUCAUUGUUUACCCACAAUACAUCAUUUGUAAAAUAAAGAAGUAAAAUAUUUGAAAAUAAAA